GAAAUGCGAUAAGUAAUGUGAAUUGCAGAAUUCAGUGAAUCAUCGAAUCUUUGAACGCACAUUGCGCCCGCCAGCAUUCUGGCGGGCAUGCCUGUCCGAGCGUCAUUUCAACCCUCAGGGCCCCCCUUCGCGGGGGUGGACCUGGUGUUGGGGGCCGGCCGCCCUGCGCGCGCCGCCCCCGAAAUGCAGUGGCGACCUCGCCGCAGCCUCCCCUGCGUAGUAGCACAACCUCGCACCGGAGCGCGGAGACGGUCACGCCGUAAAACGCCCAACUUUCAAGAGUUGACCUCGGAUCAGGUAGGACUACCCGCUGAACUUAA
rnacentral:misc_RNA from 1 species